UACAGAGGUCCAAAGCGUUGUUCGGAUUCAUUGGGCGUAAAGGGUGCGUAGGCGGCGCGGUAAGUCGGGUGUGAAAUCUCGGAGCUUAACUCCGAAACUGCAUUCGAUACUGCCGUGCUUGAGGACUGGAGAGGAGACUGGAAUUUACGGCGUAGCGGUGAAAUGCGCAGAUAUCAGGAGGAACACCGGUGGCGAAGGCGGGUCUCUGGGCCGAUACUGACGCUGAGGAGCGAAAGCGUGGGGAGCGAACAGG
rnacentral:rRNA from 1 species